CUUUGCUUGUAGCCAUUAUUGCUGAACCAGUUGUUCUGAUGAUUUAUCCAGAAAGCCCUAAGUGUCCUUAUAAAUACCCACAUUGCUCCCCGACAGACACAAUGACAUGAUGGGAGUGGUGACACAAGGCUCUUACUGUUACAUUCAAUAAUUGAUUCUCCUGGAUGGAUUGUGACUCCCUAAAGGUUGCAAAGAGAGAAGCAGCGAUACAUGUUCUUCAGUUAUACAGAGAUGAAUGUUCAUUCCAUGUGCUGUUUUCAGCUGUGUACUUACACCAGUCCAAAAUCCCAAAGAGGAAAGUAAAAGCUGAGAUUCCCAUCAGUAGCAGAGAACAUCAGGUGAUGUUGAUUUAA
rnacentral:lncRNA from 1 species